GAAAUGCGAUAAGUAAUGUGAAUUGCAGAAUUCAGUGAAUCAUCGAAUCUUUGAACGCACAUUGCGCUCGCCAGUAUUCUGGCGAGCAUGCCUGUUCGAGCGUCAUUUCAACCAUCAAGCUCUGCUUGCGUUGGGGAUCCGCGGCUGCCCGCGGUCCCUCAAAAACAGUGGCGGGCUCGCUAGUCACACCGAGUGUAGUAACUCUACAUCGCUAUGGUCGUGCGGCGGGUUCUUGCCGUAAAACCCCCAAUUUCUAAGGUUGACCUCGGAUCAGGUAGGAAUACCCGCUGAACUUAAGC
rnacentral:misc_RNA from 1 species